rnacentral:rRNA from 1 species
AGGUCAAGCUAAUAAGGGCUAACGGUGGAUACCUAGGCACACGGAAGCGAAGAAGGACGUAGUUACCGACGAAACGCUUCGGGGAGCGGGAAGCAAGCAUUGAUCCGAAGAUAUCCGAAUGGGGCAACCCUAAACACGACCACCUGAAUACAUAGGGUGGAGCGAGCAAACCUGGUGAACUGAAACAUCUUAGUAGCCAGAGGAAAAGAAAGCAACAGCGAUUCCCCCAGUAGCGGCGAGCGAAAAGGGAACAGCCUAAACCAAGUUCUUCGGAACUUGGGGUCGUGGGACAGUAACAAAAGACUGGGAAAUUUAGACGAAGCGGCUGAAAACCGCACCAGAGAAGGUGAAAGUCCUGUAGUCGAAAAAGGAACCAGCUUAACUGCAUCCCGAGUAGCAUGGGGCACGUGAAAUCCCGUGUGAAUCUGCCUCGACCACGAGGUAAGGCUAAAUAUUCCCGUGUGACCGAUAGAGAAACAGUACCGCGAGGGAAAGGUGAAAAGAACCCCGGAAGGGGAGUGAAAUAGAACAUGAAACCGUUAGCCUACAAGCAAUGGGAGGACGAUUGAACGUCUGACCGUGUGCCUGUUGAAGAAUGAGCCGGCGACUUACAGGUUAUGGCAGGUGAAGGGGGAAGACCCCACAGCCCCAGCGAAAGCGAGUCUGAAUAGGGCGAAGCGUCAUAAUUUGUAGACCCGAACCCGGGUGAUCUAACCAUGGCCAGGAUGAAGCUUGGGUAAAACCAAGUGGAGGUCCGAACCGACUAAUGUUGAAAAAUUAGCGGAUGAGCUGUGGUUAGGGGUGAAAUGCCAAUCGAACUCGGAGCUAGCUGGUUCUCCCCGAAAUGUGUUGAGGCGCAGCGGUAGUGGAAGUUUAGUCGGGGUAAAGCACUGUUUCGCCGCGGGCUGGGAGACCGGUACCAAGGCGAGGCAAACUCUGAAUACGGCUAAAAAAACUACCAGUGAGACGGUGGGGGAUAAGCUUCAUCGUCAAGAGGGAAACAGCCCAGACCACCAGCUAAGGUCCCCAAAUGAUAACUAAGUGAGAAAGGAGGUGGGAGUGCAUUGACAACCAGGAGGUUUGCCUAGAAGCAGCAAUCCUUAAAAGAGUGCGUAAUAGCUCACUGGUCAAGCGCUCCUGCGCCGAAAAUGAACGGGGCUAAGUUAUCUACCGAAGCUGUGGACUACAUUGUAGUGGUAGGGGAGCGUUCUAUAGGGGGUGAAGCAGUAGCGGCAAGCAGCUGUGGACUCUAUAGAAGUGAGAAUGUCGGCUUAAGUAGCGAAAAUGUGGGUGAGAAUCCCACACCCCGAAACCCCAAGGUUUCCUCCGCAAGGCUCGUCCGCGGAGGGUCAGUCAGGACCUAAGGCGAGGCUGAAAAGCGUAGUCGAUGGACAACGGGUUAACAUUCCCGUACCGAUUAAUGAUUGUGCCGGAGAACGGAGAAGGUCAACGUCAGCUGGAUGUUGGUUACCAGUGCAAGCAGUCGAGGCGAUGAGAGGUGGUGAAAACACCAGGAGCUAAGACGCGAGUCCCACCUCCCACGGGAGGGAAGUGGCGCUGAUCAAGCUUCCUAGAAAAGCCCGAACCACGUUAAUCAUUAAUUGCCUGUACCCGAAACCGACACAGGUGGGGAAGUAGAGAAUACUAAGGGGCGCGAGAUAACUCUCUCUAAGGAACUCGGCAAAAUGACCCCGUAACUUCGGGAGAAGGGGUACCCUCGCAAGAGGGUCGCAGUGAAUAGGCCCAGGCGACUGUUUACCAAAAACACAGGUCUCCGCCAAGUCGUAAGACGCAGUAUGGAGGCUGACGCCUGCCCAGUGCCGGAAGGUUAAGGAAGUUGGUCAGGAGUAAUCUGAAGCUGACGACCGAAGCCCCGGUGAACGGCGGCCGUAACUAUAACGGUCCUAAGGUAGCGAAAUUCCUUGUCGGGUAAGUUCCGACCCGCACGAAAGGCGUAACGAUCUGGGCACUGUCUCGGAGAGAGACUCGGCGAAAUAGGAUUGUCUGUGAAGAUACGGACUACCUGCACCUGGACAGAAAGACCCUAUGAAGCUUUACUGUAGCCUGGAAUUGGCUUCGGGCUUCGCUUGCGCAGGAUAGGUGGGAAGCUUUGAAACUCUCCUCGUGGGGAGAGUGGAGCUAACGGUGAGAUACCACUCUGGCGAGGCUAGAAUUCUAACCCUGACCCCUAAUCGGGGCGGGAGACAGUUUCAGGUGGGCAGUUUGACUGGGGCGGUCGCCUCCUAAAAGGUAACGGAGGCGCGCAAAGGUUCCCUCGGUCCCGUUGGAAAUGGGACGAUAGAGUGCAAAAGCAGAAGGGAGCUUGACUGUGAGACCCACAAGUCGAACAGGGACGAAAGUCGGCUUUAGUGAUCCGACGGCACCGCGUGGAAGGGCCGUCGCUCAACGGAUAAAAGUUACUCUAGGGAUAACAGGCUGAUCUCCCCCAAGAGUUCACAUCGACGGGGAGGUUUGGCACCUCGAUGUCGGCUCAUCGCAACCUGGGGCUGAAGUCGGUCCCAAGGGUUGGGCUGUUCGCCCAUUAAAGCGGUACGUGAGCUGGGUUCAGAACGUCGUGAGACAGUUCGGUCCAUAUCCGGUGUAGGCGUAAGAGCAUUGCGAGGAGCCUUCCUUAGUACGAGAGGACCGGGAAGGACGCACCGCUGGUGUACCUGUUAUCGUGCCAACGGUAAACGCAGGGUAGCCAUGUGCGGAGCGGAUAACCGCUGAAAGCAUCUAAGUGGGAAGCCCACCUCCAGAUGAUUGCUCUCAUGGCAUUAAGCCAGUAAGGUCUCGGGUAGACUACCCGUUGAUAGGCUCUAGAUGGAAGCUCGGUAACGAGUGCAGUCGAGGAGUACUAACCGACCGAGGGCUUGACCUG